rnacentral:miRNA from 14 species
GGUACUAGUUAAAAUGCAGAUAUCUGAAUAUCCCCCACCUCUACUGAAUCAAACUUGCUGGUUUGGGGACCAGGAAUCUGCAUUUUUA